AUUUGGGACCUCAGAAUGGGGAGGUGAGGGCGAGAUUGUUGCUCUUUUCGAUGAGGAAGCGGGAGCUGGUGAUUAUUGCCAACAAAAGUUGUUUGUGGCAAAAUUCAGGGAGCAAUAGGGUACGACUCCACUUGCCAUGAUAGCAACAGGCUGACAGGAAUUGUGAAAUGCUUUCUAAUGUUGGUGCUGAAUGUCCAGAAAUUUCUUUGACGUGGAUGUUAAGUUGAAUACCGACAUUUCUGCAAACCAUCUCUCCAGUUUUCUUUCAAUCCAUGUGGCUUUCAUUUUCACUUUAUCAGGUUUCAGUCGCUGAAGAAUUUCUGCAUUUUUGAAUUUCUCAGACACUAGGCAGUGGUUGGAUCUUUGCUCUGCAUGAGGCACUCAUCAUUCUUGGCAUUCUUGCUCUUCCAUUUGAAUUGUCGGAUUGUCGGGACAUCUCGAUCUUUGGGUCCAUUUCAUCGAUGAUUAUUAUCAUCUUCAGGUUCAUUCUUGGGUGUAUGGUCAUGCAGGCAGUCCACUGAGUAGUCUCAAAAGCCAGACAUGUCUGAUGCAUUCAUGUUUGUAUCUGUUUGUUGGUUUCUGUUGGCAAAGCUCAAGCCAUGAGAUUCAUUUCCUUCUGAUCAUUCAUGGGAAUAUUUUUUCUGCCACUCUAUUCCUGCUCUUAUUUAAGACUCUACCCAUCCUUUUCAGUCUUCUGGACAAAUAUUUGAACGGUGAGGACCAGUUAUCUGUCCUUUUUGCAACAUACUUGCCCUUCUCUGCUGUUCCUUUCCAGACUGUAAUUGUAAUUGCAAUUGCAAUUGCAAGCAAUACUCUUUCUUUAGAAACCAAUUCUUAUUAUCAAUUAUCACUCUUGUUUAAUGAUAUCUUUCUUUGAUGAAAAUUCUUGUGUUACUCUCACUGUGUAAUCUUUGUAUGUAGACUGACUUUGGUUUGUUGGGUUGAAGAGAA